GACGAACGCUGGCGGCGUGCCUAACACAUGCAAGUCGAACGAGAAUUCUGAUUCAGAUCCUUUCGGGGUGAAGAAUUAGAAGGACAGUGGCGGACGGGUGAGUAACGCGUGAGUAACCUGCCUUACAGAGGGGGACAACAGUUGGAAACGACUGCUAAUACCGCAUAAUGUAUGACCGAGGCAUCUCGGAGAUACCAAAGGAGCAAUCCCGCUGUAAGAUGGACUCGCGUCCAAUUAGAUAGUUGGUGGGGUAACGGCCCGACCAAGUCGACGAUUGGUAGCCGGACUGAGAGGUUGAACGGCCACAUUGGGACUGAGACACGGCCCAGACUCCUACGGGAGGCAGCAGUGGGGGAUAUUGCACAAUGGAGGAAACUCUGAUGCAGCAACGCCGCGUGAGGGAAG
rnacentral:rRNA from 1 species